AUGUCGCUCCCGGUUUUCAGUGUUCAGUCCCAACGUUGCCCCCAAAUUCCCGACUCUACCCACCAAUGCAGUCCCAGGAAGGGACAGAGGAGCAGUUACCCAGCCCCAUCUGAACCACCCGAGAUCCAAGAUCCGCCGCCCACUGAUGGGAAGAACGCCAGCCUUUCUGCAAACACUCCAGUUCACCAGUUCCGCUCAUCUGCCUUCCUCUUUCUCCACAAAGUUGUGUGCUGCUUCUCCAUUUACAAGGUUGGAUGCACCCCAAACUCUGCUACCCACAUGGCUUGCAUCCUUCCAGACCCCGCUCAGAUGCUACUACCUCCUCAGAUCCCAACCAACUCCAAAGCUCGACUGGCCUUGCCGCGCCAGUGUCCCCGUGAAACGUUUGGUAAACUCUGGGCUACUUCGAUCUCACUCUGCAUUGUCCUAGCGUCUUGCAUUCAGGCUUCAGGCUCGUUCCAGAUGACAAACGAAGAUAGCCCCUUGUGAGCCCAGCCUCGGUCCAGUCUAAACAAAACCACCCGGCCCUUUUCACAAAGUAGUGGCUCAAUAACAUUAUCUGAUAGAUUUAAUGUACUGUGUUUAAAUAGAAAUACGGUCUGGGUCUCUGGGUCUCUGAUUUUAUUUGUUGCCACACCAAACCACACUGCUGAGUUUCAAAUUGCCUUGAUUGGCUUCGCGCUCCCUCGCGGUCCUCAGACAGACGCCAAGCGGUUGUGAAAUCACCAAAAAGGUAAGGAGGAAAGGGGGGAACGAAAGGGAAGCCCGGGCCAGAAAAACCCUCGCUGAGUCACCAUUUCCUGGACCAUAGAGCUCCCUGCUGCUUCGGGAGACUGGGAGAAUCGUCCAGGGGCUGCGCGUGGAGGCCGAGCGCCUGCCCCGAACUCCCAACCCGCCGCGGCGGCACCCAGGGCUAAGGCGCCCUCGUGUGGCCGCACCGCAGCCCCCGCCGCUCGCUCGGGGCUCGCCCGCAGACCACGCUCCCCCGGUGGAGGAACUAGAGACGCACAAAGUUUCCGAGCUAGGCGGUUUGCAAAGGGACAAGCCCGGUCCCGGAACCUCGAUGAGCAGGCGUGGCGGGAGCGGCGCGAGGACCAGCAGCGACAAUGAGAAAUCGGGGCGCGCACGAACCCCUUAGGUCCGAGGGGCGCCCCGCUGCGGGGCUCGGGGCCUCCAGAUCCCCCGGGCGCAGGGCUUCUCCCCG
rnacentral:lncRNA from 1 species